GAUGAACGCUGGCGGCGUGCCUAAUACAUGCAAGUCGAGCGAACGGACGAGAAGCUUGCUUCUCUGAUGUUAGCGGCGGACGGGUGAGUAACACGUGGAUAACCUACCUAUAAGACUGGGAUAACUUCGGGAGACCGGAGCUAAUACCGGAUAAUAUUUUGAACCGCAUGGUUCAAAAGUGAAAGACGGUCUUGCUGUCACUUAUAGAUGGAUCCGCGCUGCAUUAGCUAGUUGGUAAGGUAACGGCUUACCAAGGCAACGAUGCAUAGCCGACCUGAGAGGGGGACGGCCAACCGGGAAACGGAACCCGGGCCAGCACCCCGAGGGGGGGGAGAGGUAGGGACUCUUCCGAAAGGGGGGAAGGCCUGCCGGAGAAGCGCGGCGGGAGGAAUAAGGUUCUUCGGUUCGAAAACCUGUUUUAUGGGGGAAAAACAUAUUUUUAAGUACCUGUGCAAAUCUGGACGGUCCCUAAUAAGAAGGCCAGGGAUAACCCCGUG
rnacentral:rRNA from 1 species